AUACGGAGGGUGCAAGCGUUACUCGGAAUCACUGGGCGUAAAGCGCGCGCAGGCGGGCUGAUAAGUUGGAUGUGAAAGCCUACGGCUCAACCGUAGAACUGCAUCCAAAACUGUCAGCCUAGAGUCUGAGAGGGGAAGAUGGAAUUAGUUGUGUAGGGGUAAAAUCCGUAGAGAUAACUAGGAAUACCAAAAGCGAAGGCGAUCUUCUGGAACAGUACUGACGCUGAGGCGCGAAAGCGUGGGGAGCAAACAGAAUUAGAUACCCUAGUAGUCC
rnacentral:rRNA from 1 species